rnacentral:rRNA from 1 species
GACGAACGCUGGCGGCGUGCUUAACACAUGCAAGUCGAACGGAAAGGCCCCUUUGGGGGUACUCGAGUGGCGCACGGGUGAGUAACACGUGAGUAACCUGCCCUUGACUUCGGGAUAACUUCAGGAAACUGGGGCUAAUACCGGAUAGGAAUCCUUGCUGCAUGGUGGGGGUUGGAAAGCUUCGGCGGUUUUGGAUGGACUCGCGGCUUAUCAGCUUGUUGGUGGGGUAGUGGCUUACCAAGGCUUUGACGGGUAGCCGGCCUGAGAGGGCGACCGGCCACAUUGGGACUGAGAUACGGCCCAGACGCCGAAGGGAGGCAGCAGUGGGGAAUAUUGCACAAUGGGCGGAAGCCUGAUGCAGCAACGCCGCGUGCGGGAUGACGGCCGUAGGGUUGGAAACCGAUUUCAGCAGGGGCGAAGCUGGUGGUGACGGUACCUGCAGAAGAAGCACCGGCUAACUACGUG